rnacentral:Y_RNA from 1 species
GUCUGGUCCGAAGGUAGUGAGUUAUCUCAGUUGAUUGUUCACAGUCAGUUACAAAUUGAACUCCUUGUUCUACUCUUUCCCCCCUUCUCACUACUGCACUUGACUAGUCUUAA